UACAGGGGGGGCGAGCGUUGUUCGGAAUUACUGGGCGUAAAGGGUUUGUAGGUGGCUUGCUCAGUCAGACGUGAAAUCCCUCAGCUCAACUGGGGAACUGCGUCUGAUACUAGAUGGCUCGAGUGCAGGAGAGGAACGCGGAAUUCCAGGUGUAGUGGUGAAAUGCGUAGAUAUCUGGAGGAACACCGGUGGCGAAGGCGGCGUUCUGGACUGCAACUGACACUGAGGAACGAAAGCCAGGGGAGCAAACGGG
rnacentral:rRNA from 1 species